rnacentral:rRNA from 1 species
GUGCAGCAGGCGCGAAAACUUUACAAUGUGCGAAAGCACGAUAAGGGAACUCUGAGUGCCUCCUAAGGAGGCUGUUCUGAUGUCUAAAAAGCAACAGAAGUAAGGGCUGGGUAAGACCGGUGCCAGCCGCCGCGGUAACACCGGCAGCCCAAGUGGUAGCCACGUUUAUUGGGUCUAAAGCGUUCGUAGCCGGCCAGGUAAGUUCCUUGGUAAAUUUAGCCGCUUAACGGUUAAGCUUUCAGGGAAUACUGCUUGGCUUGGGACUGGGAGAGGUCAGGGGGUACUCCGGGGGUAGAGGUGAAAUCUAUUAAUCCCUGGGGGACCACCGGUAGCGAAGGCGUCUGACCAGACCAGGUCCGACGGUGAGGGACGAAGGCUAGGGGCGCGAACAGGAUUAGAUACCCGCGUAGU